AUUGAACGCUGGCGGCAUGCCUAACACAUGCAAGUCGAACGGAGGUAGGGGCAACUCUACUUCAGUGGCGGACGGGUGAGGAAUGCGUCGGAAUCUACCCUAUGGUGGGGGAUAACACAGGGAAACUUGUGCUAAUACCGCAUGAUGUCGAGAGACCAAAGCAGGGGACCGCAAGGCCUUGCGCGAUAGGAUGAGCCGACGCCCGAUUAGCUAGUUGGUAGGGUAAUGGCCUACCAAGGCGACGAUCGGUAGCUGGUCUGAGAGGAUGAUCAGCCACACUGGGACUGAGACACGGCCCAGACUCCUACGGGAGGCAGCAGUAAGGAAUAUUGCUCAAUGGCCGAAAGGCUGAAGCAGCAACGCCGCGUGGAGGAUGAAAUACUUUUGUAUGUAAACUCCUGUAAGAAGGGAAAAUAUUCCGAUUUAUCGGGAUUGAUUGUACCUUCAGAGUAAGCCCCGGCUAACUACGUGCCAGCAGCCGCGGUAA
rnacentral:rRNA from 1 species